rnacentral:lncRNA from 1 species
UGUUUCCUAAUUUCCUUAAUUCCUUCUGCUUCAACUUUCAAAAAUCGCCUCCCUUGCUUCCCAGUUCCCACCGGCGCCUCCCUUGUUUCCUACAGGCACCGGCACCGGCGCCGUCCUCCCUCCUUCGUGCUCAGCCUGCAGGCCGCCGCCCCUCUCCCAGCCCUUUUCUCUCAUCCGCCGUUGGCCCGCUGCAUUUUCCAUCACCGCCCGCCGCUCGCCGCCUGCCAUCGCCGACUGCCAUCGCCUUGUCCAAUUUGGAGAUGGUGACUUGGUGUUGGACCUGUUGGUUCAUGCUUGAUGACAGAUUGUAUAUUUGUAUGUAAGGGAUUUGGUGACUUGGUGUUUGUGAUAUAUGAGCAGAAAGAUAUUAUGAGGAGGUGGAGAUGGUGAUUUGGUGUUUGUGAAUUGUAAUAUUGAUAUAUGUCGUUUUUUUCUUGGCAAAUUUCUGCUUGAGGCUGUCCAAACAUCCUCUGUAUUUCUUUUUCAAUAGCUCACCUUUCAACUGCUCAUCAUUUAAAUCACUACCUCCUUCACAACACACAUGCAUUAAUUAAAAAGUUAAGCACGAUAGAAGAAGGUGGCCCUAAAUUGGGCUUUAUUCUCUUGUCUAAACUAGAAUACUUGGAUUUAUAAAUAAACGCCAA